rnacentral:rRNA from 1 species
UUUGAUCCUGGCUCAGAACGAACGCUGGCGGCAGGCCUAACACAUGCAAGUCGAGCGCACCCUUCGGGGCGAGCGGCGGACGGGUUAGUAACGCGUGGGAACAUACCCUUUUCUACGGAAUAGCCUCGGGAAACUGAGAGUAAUACCGUAUAAGCCCUUCGGGGGAAAGAUUUAUCGGGAAAGGAUUGGCCCGCGUUAGAUUAGAUAGUUGGUGGGGUAAUGGCCUACCAAGUCUACGAUCUAUAGCUGGUUUUAGAGGAUGAUCAGCAACACUGGGACUGAGACACGGCCCANACUCCUACGGGAGGCAGCAGUGGGGAAUCUUAGACAAUGGGCGCAAGCCUGAUCUANCCAUGCCGCGUGUGUGAUGAAGGCCUUAGGGUCGUAAAGCACUUUCGCUAGGGAUGAUAAUGACAGUACCUAGUAAAGAAACCCCGGCUAACUCCGUGCCAGCAGCCGCGGUAAUAAGGG